GAGGGGGUAGCUCAGUGGCUAGGGCGCAGGACUGGCAGGCCUGAGGGCCCAGGUUCGACCCCAGGCACUGCCG
rfam:Erinaceus europaeus unplaced genomic scaffold scaffold00221, whole genome shotgun sequence